AUGGCCAGCCUUGCUGAAGACCAGAAGCCAUGGCAUCCUGGCGGAGUCCGCUGUCCGUGGCGGGGAUGCCCAGCCAGCUGGCGAGCCCCUCUCCGCUGUGUCUCACCACUCCCCUCCCCGCCAGGGCAGUGCACCUGCUGCGGGGGAGCCCGCUCUUCCUCAAUGGCUGCCCUGUGGGCAGGGAGCCUGCGACCUGAGCCGUUGUCUGCUGAUCCCGGCAGUGGGUCAGCCUCCACCAGGCACCCCAGGAACCAGGCCCUUUGCAGCCCCCGCACCGGGCAGACCCCUCUCCGGGAAUUCACAGCGCCCACGGCGGCCCCUCCACACCUGCCUUCGCUGCCAGCCAGGUCCCAGGCAGGCAGUGCUCCGGCUGGGGGCCGCCCGGCUUGUGUGCAGCGCUCCAGUCGGGAGGGCCGCCUGCAGUGGGCAGCGCCGGUUUCCAGAACGUUCUUCUGCCUGUGUGGACUCCCAGCCUGUCCUCCUGGGUCUCCCUGGGGCACAGUUUCCUCUCCAACUCAGGGAGGAGGCCCCUGGGGAGCAGAAGGCCACGCAGGCGCCCACUGGGCCGACAGCCCCUCUCAGCUGUGGGGGCACCCGCAAGAGCCACCACCUCCAGGCCACAGGGGCGCGCCGGCCACUGCUACCUCCUCUCAGACCCCUGCUGGUCCUGGCUCCGAGAACGAGGCCCUCACACUUCUGCCUCCCGCCCCUCACUGCUCAGAGGCCAAGCGGCUGGGGGAUGACCAAGUGCAGCCCAAGUUCACACCCACGUGUGUGCACACCGUGGUGCACUCGUACUGCACACACACAGUGCACACAACCGCACACGGUGGACACCUUCUAUACACACAGUGCACACAGAGACACCCAUGGUGCACACGUACUACACACACACAUACAUACACCAUACACACACCAAAACCACAACCCCUCACCCACCCACAAACACACACGGUGCAAACACAUCAUACAGUGCACACACAUGCACGCCCACAGGUGUGUACACACCACACGUACACCCACAUGUAUACUGCACACUCAUCAGACGCAUAA
rnacentral:lncRNA from 1 species